UACGUAGGGUGCAAGCGUUUGUCCGGAAUUAUUGGGCGUAAAGAGCUCGUAGGCGGUUUGUCGCGUCUGCUGUGAAAACUCGGGGCUUAACUCCGGGCCUGCAGUGGGUACGGGCAGACUAGAGUGCGGUAGGGGUGACUGGAAUUCCUGGUGUAGCGGUGGAAUGCGCAGAUAUCAGGAGGAACACCGAUGGCGAAGGCAGUUCUCUGGGCCGUAACUGACGCUGAGGAGCGAAAGCGUGGGGAGCGAACAGG
rnacentral:rRNA from 1 species